rnacentral:tRNA from 5 species
UCGGGGAUCGUCUAACGGUAGGACAGCGGCCUUUGAAGCCGUCAGUCUUGGUUCGAAUCCAAGUCCCCGAGCCA